rnacentral:rRNA from 1 species
GACGAACGCUGGCGGCGUGCUUAACACAUGCAAGUCGAGCGGAAAGGCCACUUCGGUGGUACUCGAGCGGCGAACGGGUGAGUAACACGUGAGUAAUCUGCCCCUGGCUUUGGGAUAGCCACCGGAAACGGUGAUUAAUACCGGAUACGACCACUUCUCGCAUGGGAUGGUGGCGGAAAGUUUUUUCGGCCGGGGAUGUGCUCGCGGCCUAUCAGCUUGAUGGUGAGGUAAUGGCUCACCAUGGCGUCGACGGGUAGCCGGCCUGAGAGGGUGACCGGUCACACUGGGACUGAGACACGGCCCAGACUCCUACGGGAGGCAGCAGUGGGGAAUAUUGGACAAUGGGCGGAAGCCUGAUCCAGCAACGCCGCGUGAGGGAUGACGGCCUUCGGGUCGUAAACCUCUUUCAGCAGGGACGAAGCGCAAGUGACGGUACCUGCAGAAGAAGCACCGGCCAACUACGUGCCAGCAGCCGCCGUAA